AUUUCCUCAGAAGGGUAUCAUUCUCUCCACAUUCGUGACCGCCAUGAUGAGCAGUGCAUGGACGAGCCACAAGGGUCCGAGAAAAAACUUUAAAUGGGAGGAUUAUAUUCUGGACUACUGCAGAGGGGCUCAUAAGGUAUUGUUUUAGUAAGAUUUUAAAUGUUAAUUGUUUGGGAAUAUUAUUAUGGUUUGUUAAUUGUUUCGUUGUUCUCUGUAAUUACAGUCCCAAGUCUUUGAGAGAUGGAGGGGUAACGAGUUUAUUUACUUCGUUCUGAACCUUCCCGAGGCAAGGCACUGGGUCACAGUUGAAGUCGACAUAGAGCUGUGGAAAAUUAAUGUCUACGACUGUGAUUCCAGCGUCUGUCAUUGGACCGCCUUGGAACCCAUCCUGAAGGUUUGGGCAGAACUGCUGCCCUCGCUAAUCCUUGAGACCGGGGAAUUUCCACAUAACAACCAGAUCAUGGCGUUAGCUAACUGUGACAUCACGGUGCUUCCAAAAAUGCACGCGACUCGAGCCACUCACGACUUAGUUCCGAAGUCAGCAACCAGUGGUGAUUGUGGCGUCUAUUGCAUUGAGUAUGUGGAGCAUCUCAUGAUGCAGCGUGGAUUGACCGAUGUGACGCCAGACCGGAUAGCUAUGUUUCGUCAACGGUGGUGUGUCGAUUUAUUUUACCAAAAUGUCGGCUGAUUAUAUGUGUAAUUAUUGGGACAUUGUAUAUUUUGUGUAAUUAACAUUACAGUUAUGUAUAUAUAGAUUUUCUUUUCGUUCAAA